rnacentral:lncRNA from 1 species
AUCUUUCAUUUCUUUAGGUUUAAGCCACUCAGUGAUUUAAUGGAUGUGGAAUAAGAAGGUUUGCUGUUUGAGGGGGAGUCACGUAAGGAAUGAGAUGACCAAGAUAUCUAAGAAAAAAUAUCUGCAAUUCAAAGGCAUUAUCUCCUGUACUUCACAAAUCCAUGUGGUGGGCGUUCAUUUCUUAUGGUUUCUCCUGGUGUUUACACCCCUCUGCCACUUGGAGGUACAGCUCAGUGUUUCAAACAAUAAUCAGUGUGGUGUGACUUCCACAAUAAUCAGCAAGAUGUGCAUCCAGUCACAGUGAGCCUUCCUCCACCUACCCGUUUUCCUCGUCUGUUGCCAGGUGAUUUCUUGUCGCACUCUGGACCGCAGUGUGCCAAGCUUGACGUCAGGGCUGGAGAGGUCUGGCACUUUGUCACUGUGUCUGUGAUGCCGCAGUCGGGCAGCCCCCUCGCUCUCUGAGUCACACAUCUGGGGUCAGCUAGCCAAGUGAUAGCCGCCCCCCACUCCACUCUGCUUGUGUUGAGCAUCGCUCAAUAGGAGAAGUUUCCAAUGACAAUUUUAAGAGCUGCUAUUCCUGUAUCUGUAGGUUGUAAGCUUCAUAUUAUUCAUUUGAAAAAUAGUUUUUCAUGAUGCACAGAGUAGUCUGUUGUUAUUGUGUAGCUGAUACAUUUAUCAUUCAAAAAGAAUUUAGGAUAGGGAUGCCGAU